ACAGGCAAAAUGGCUAGUAGUGGUGCGUUGAGGAGCGUGUCAGUGUAGAUUUGACACCAGGAGCGGAGCUACACGCGUCUCUACAUCUGCUGUCUGGAGAACUUGGACUGACAGAGACAGAAUCUGCGUCAGGAUCUUUAAUCUCGCUUUGUAGCCCAGCAUGGACGUUUUACUGGACACCUGUGGACGGCGACGAGUCAGUUCUUUGCUGUUACUUUACCUUUUUGUCGUGAAGGCUACAGCUGACUGUCCUAAACCACAUUCAAGGGAAAAUAUGGUCCUCACAGACAAAUCCCUUCUACUGAAUGAGUUUCUAGAAAAUACUGAGGCUACUUUAGAGUGUCGUAAUGGAUAUGUUAUAGAAAGUGGCUCUGGGAGUAUGACCUGCAUUGAUGGGAAUUGGACUGAACCAGAUCUCGCCUGCAAAAAGAAGGACUGUGGUCCCCCUUUACCUCGGCCGAACAUGAGCUUUAUCACCAUUGCUGGUACUCUGUUUGGCGAUACAAUAAAAGCAGUUUGUGAUAAAGGAUUCAAGCUCAGUGGAUCAAGCUUCAAACAGUGCUAUGCGUAUGGGUGGAGUGGAAAAGCCAACUGUAAUAUUGUAAAAUGUGCUAAACCUGAUGAAGUAGCCAAUGGCAGAAGUUCCUGGGAUUCUCAAGAUGAACCAAAAUAUGGAGAAAGCAUACAGUACGUCUGUAAUAACGGAUACACCCUCAUUGGGAAAGAUAGCAUUACGUGCAGCGAAACUGGUAGAUACGAUUCUCAGCCUCCUGCAUGCGAAGUUUUCUUAUUCAUAGGUGUGACAACAGAAUCUGACAGAAUUACAACGGAAACCGUAACACCAACAUCUACACCUACAGCAAAAGACCUCAAUAGUCCCACCCACAGCCGACUCCAAGCGUCCACUUCUACAGAUUCAUCUGCCACACCCACAGCUCACAGAGCUAAAUCGGUCACAACCAGUGCAACACCUACUGCCUCACCUUCAGUACGAGGUGGCAGAGACAUUUUGACAGCUGAGGGUACAACCACUGUAACGUCAAUGACAUCAUCUUCAUUUCAAGACAAACCUGAUGAGGCUGUAGAUACUAACAAGCAUAUUGGAUAUAAACCUGUGGUAGUCAGUGUGAUAUGCGUUUUAUUUGGUAAUGUACAAUUUUUCUCUUUGGAAGUAAAACUGCGUUUUGCAGUUGAAGUACAAUAUAAAAUGAAUCUUUUUGUUUAUUGUUUUCUUUACAGUUGCGAUUAUAUGUAUAUUCGUUUUACACAAGUUUCUUCUGACGAGAAAAGGGUGAGCUCCAGUAUUUUACUCCUAACUUUUUAAUGCAUGACCCAUACUUGAUUAUGCUUCUUAUCCUCUUUGCACUUUCUGCUCUUUUUACCUGUUGAGGUUAACAUAUUAUUUGUACUCUCAGAACGUAAAUGCACGGCAGCGUGCAGGUCAAUAUUAGCACAUAUUUCUGUGAACAAAUACAGCGCGCAGUGAAGUAAUAUGCAAUAACUUUUAGGAAGCAGCAGUUUCAGAUUCCUCAUUGCUUUUUAGUUUUUGAACUGUUUGAGGAAAUCUUGAUAUCUGUGUUUUUCCGGACCUGUGCUGUGGAAUGAGGGAAGUCAACAGGAAAUCAUUUAAUGAAACCAUCUGUGACGUAGAAAUCAGCAUCAGGAAGGAACAUUCCUUCCAGGCCGGAGGGAAUCAGGAUUUCUUUAAUCAAGUUCAAUAAAAUGUACAGGAAGCAGGCUGACGUAUUUUGUGAUUUAUGUGACAAAUAUUGUUAGCAAUUCAUGUGACAAAUCUUUUUUUAUACAGAAACGAACACUUAAAGCUUUCAACUGUGAAACAACACUUAAUAUUCAUCUUGUGAAAUUCACUUGUAAUCCAGAUAAACCAGAUAGCUCAGACUCAGCUAGAGAAACUUUUCUUAAACGUGAAUCUCUCAUAUAAUCAUAUGCAUGCUUGAAUAUUCCACUAAGCCAAGGUUAAAGCUUAUUUUACAAAAAACAAAUCAUUAUUCUCUCAAAGUUGCAAUGACUAACACUAAUAUCUCUAAUUAAUUGCUAAUUAAGUAUGCAUUAAAAAAACAUUCGGUUAACUAAUAAAGUUUUAACAAAAAUAACAUAACUCAACAAUUCUGACACCAAUUCCCUAUUUGAUGACACCAUAGCUCAUAUGACACCAGAGAAGACCUGAAGCCGGAGUUAUUACAGUUCCAAAACGUUUAGAUUGCCUGCCUGACUAAGCUCUGCAAAUGGAACCGUGCACG